rnacentral:rRNA from 1 species
GAUCCUGGCUCAGGAUGAACGCUAGCUACAGGCUUAACACAUGCAAGUCGAGGGGCAGCAUUUCAGUUUGCUUGCAAACUGAAGAUGGCGACCGGCGCACGGGUGAGUAACACGUAUCCAACCUGCCGAUAACUCGGGGAUAGCCUUUCGAAAGAAAGAUUAAUAUCCGAUGGUAUAAUUAGACCGCAUGGUCUUGUUAUUAAAGAAUUUCGGUUAUCGAUGGGGAUGCGUUCCAUUAGGCAGG